CAGUAGCCGCGGUAAUACGUAGGGUGCGAGCGUUAAUCGGAAUUACUGGGCGUAAAGCGUGCGCAGGCGGUUGUGUAAGACAGGUGUGAAAUCCCCGGGCUUAACCUGGGAACUGCGCUUGUGACUGCACAGCUAGAGUAUAGCAGAGGGGGGUGGAAUUCCACGUGUAGCAGUGAAAUGCGUAGAGAUGUGGAGGAACACCGAUGGCGAAGGCAGCCCCCUGGGCCAAUACUGACGCUCAUGCACGAAAGCGUGGGGAGCAAACAGGAUUAGAUACCCCGGUAGCCCUGUCUCUUAUACA
rnacentral:rRNA from 1 species